GGCGACCCCUGGUCAGGCGGGAUAACCCGCUGAG
rnacentral:rRNA from 2 species